GACGAACGCUGGCGGCGUGCUUAACACAUGCAAGUCGAACGGUGAAGGUGGGAGCUUGCUCCUGCUGGAUCAGUGGCGAACGGGUGAGUAACACGUGAGCAAUCUGCCCUGGACUCUGGGAUAAGCGUUGGAAACGACGUCUAAUACCGGAUACGAGGCGUGGGGGCAUCCCCAACGCCUGGAGAGAACUUCGGUCCAGGAUGAGCUCGCGGCCUAUCAGCUAGUUGGUGAGGUAACGGCUCACCAAGGCGACGACGGGUAGCCGGCCUGGGAGGGUGACCGGCCACACUGGGACUGAGACACGGCCCAGACUCCUACGGGAGGCAGCAGUGGGGAAUAUUGCACAAUGGGCGCAAGCCUGAUGCAGCAACGCCGCGUGAGGGACGACGGCCUUCGGGUUGUAAACCUCUUUUAGCAGGGAAGAAGCGAAAGUGACGGUACCUGCAGAAAAAGCACCGGCUAACUCUGUGCCAGCCGCCGCCGUAAGAC
rnacentral:rRNA from 1 species